AGGGGGAAACGAACUCAACCAGGAAGCUAGAAGGGAAAGAAGGAUAGAGAGGAGAGAAAGAGAUAAGCUAUCCAAAAAUAUAAAAUAUCAGUAGACAAACAGCGACCAACCUACCUGAAUGACCAACGACUAUCAACCUCACCUCUCAGUAGUGCCACCUCUGCUGAUUCAUGUUUUCUAUCCAGAUUCUACUGAACUGGACUGCUGGUAUAUCUGUGAAGUGCUUGUGAGUAGAUUGAACUGUUGUCAUUGGCCUGUGAACUGAACUACUGAUUUCCAGACAACACAGAUGAGAGUUGCUUCAAAGAACCCUUCCUAAACAGGUGACAGUUCAUGAAAGCUCCACUCAUGAACCUCUAUGCACAACUUGAUGGUCACCCAAUAGAGUCAAGAAUCUCCUCUUGACAGUGCUGCUGGUCAGUCUCAUCCCUCAGCAGUUGUUUCCUGUUCAACAACUUGGGCUCAGGAGCCUCCACCUCCCUCCUAUAGAUAAUGUUUCAAUUUGGAGGACCAUACAGCAGCAGAAGCAGACCUGAUAGAUCUUCACUUACUGACAUCCACUUCCUCACUUGCUGCCUCACCCUUGGACAGACAUGAUGUCCCAGCCAGAAGAGGAUGCUCACCUACUACCCACUUCAAAGCACCGAUGUAUGCUAAGGGUUCAAUAAACAUCUGAAAAUAUUCAUUGCUG
rnacentral:lncRNA from 1 species